UUUAUUUUUGAGACAGGGCGAGACAGAGCAUGAGCAGGGGAGGGGCAGAGAGAGAGGGAGACACAGAAUCUGAAGCAGGAUCCAGGCUCUGAGCUGUCAGUGGGGCUCGAACCCACAAACGCGGUAUCAUGACCUGAGCCGAAGUCAGAUGCUUAACCGACCGACCGAGCCACCCAGCUGCCCUGAGGUGUUGAAGGAUUCUAAGCAGAGUUUACGAAAAUGGGGACAUGUUCUGAAUUCCGUGUCGUCAGCUGUCAGCACAGAGCCGGAGGUGGGGCUCGAACUCAUCAAAAGUGACAUCGUGACCUGAGUUGAAGUCAGACGCUCAACCAACUGAGCCACCCAGGCGCCAACUCCCCACCCCUCCGUAUUUAUACUCUUAAAGAUCACGUAGGCAAUGGUGGAUGAAAGAAUGGAUUGAGGUGCAACAGAAGAUGGCAAGAGACCAGUUAUAAGGAUACUGCAACAGCCCGGGUGAGAAGUAAUGGUAGUCCUGGCUAAGAUGGUGGCAGUGGGGAUGGAGGGAAGCAGAAGGGUUUAAGAGAUGGGUAUAUAGGUCAGAGAAUCAAAAGAUUUGGCGAUUGAUGGAGCGUGAGAGGUGACAGAGAGGGAGGUGUUAGGGAUGGUGCCUAGGUUCAUACUUAAGCAACCUGGUCAGCAGAACUGCCAUUUUCUAAGGAAGGGAACCAUGCUGGAAGAGAAGAAUUUUGGUGGGAAGAACAUGCAUAUGACUUUGGACAUGUAUAACCUGAGGGGGUCACUGAGACAUUCAUGUGGAAAUGUCAAGUAGGCAUUUGCAUACCCGGGGGCAGGAGAUUUAAACUUGGGAGUUAGAAUUUCAACGGUAAGUGACGUUCUGGGGACAGCGGAGAUUGCCCAAGAAGGGAGAAGUCGGUAAGAGGAGGGCCUCUGAAAGGGCUCUAAGGAACCUCAAAGGAAGCAGAGGAGCAGAGGUCAGAGAAAGAGACGUGGAAAUGACUAGAAAGCAAAGGAAAAAACAAGGAGGGUGUGGAGCCAAUGAACUGAAAGGAAAAGUGAGUUUUUUUCAGAAAGGACGGAGUGACUGUGAGAUCACGAAAAAUAGGGACUAAAAAGUAUCCCCUGGACAUGAAGAUCGUUGGUCAGUGACCUUAGCAUGAACUCGGUGUCGGGGAGGGAAGGGGUCAUCUUCUCUAAGUGUUUCUGGCAGACGUUAGUGAGAACAGGGUCUUCAGGAAAAGCUACGUGCUGGUGAGAAGUCGGACAGGAAACUGCUGCCGGGAGUGGCUGAAGGCUACACGGCCACCACCGCCCACGUGCACCAGUACUUUGCCUUCCCAGAGAGACACGUAGGUGGGAGACAGGACUCCAGACCCGCAGGGCCUUAACCGCAUCUCCUUGUAUGCUUAGAUUUUGUGUCUCCAGGGAGUCGGAGUGACUUGACAUCUCAGAGCCGUUCUGCAGUGUGUAUGCAGUGGUUCUUCAUGGAGCGCGGUGAGUCCUAUGAGCAGACAGAGAACAGGAGCAUAUUAGAGAUCAGCUCAAGUGCAGCCCUCUCAUUUUACAUAGGAGGAAUUGGGCAUGGAAAGAUGAAGCAAUUUUCCCGAAUCCACAGAGCUACUUCGUGGCAGAUCUAGGCCUGCAACUUUGGGGUCCCGUGUCUCCGAGGCUGUGCUGUCCCGUUCGAAAGCAGCGAAUCGGCCGCAGCGGCCAUAAGUGAGAGCUGCUUCCGGCCGGGAGGGUACCUUCUCCACCUCUCACGACAAAUCUUUAAAGGAGGCCUUAUCACUCCCAUUUCCCGGGUCUUCAAGUCAUGGCAGAGACAAAAGCCUUGGCAACUGGGUAACUCCCCGAACGAUAAUCCAGUGUUGGAUCUCCUGACUCUACCAUAUAUCAGUGGAUGGCCACGGGCAAGUUGCUGAACUUCUCUGAGCCUCAGGUUUCUCAUCUGCUUUCGGAAUAAGUGCAGGGAGAAGAAGGUGAAAAGAGUUGGAACUGACACUAAAACUCCAGCGCCCGGGAGAGGGGGCCUUCCUGGAAGCUACAUAAGUCUCCCUGAUGGAAGGAAAUCUUAGCGACUUUGGAAACGACUCAAGUUUGCUGUCAUGUUCACAUGUGGUGGUCGUGACGGUCAGGACCAGGGGGAGGCUGCACCUUAGUGAACAGCUUGGGUGAAUGAGGGCUGCACUAAACUCACCGAUGUGAGAAAUGCCAAGUUUUCCAGAUAAUAGGUGGCACCUUAGAUGUCAGAGUCCACUGCAAAUAAUAGUUCGUGCUCAGUUAGUUAUGGGUACUAAGUAAAUAUUAAUAGAAACUGAUACGAUCAUGAUUUGGAGAAAAACAGAAGAGCAGUGAGUAGAUUGUGACAAGUUGCUGUGUAAUUACCUUUCAUCUUUUGGGGUAAAGAAGAACUGAAUAAAGCCACUCAUGUUACCUAUUCUGGGCUCACAUUUUUGGAUCACGUUCCCACCCAGAGACUCCAAGGAAUUCCUAAAUGUCAAUCCAACCAUGGUAUCACUCAAAACACUCCUUAGUGGUUAUCAUAUUGUUGGCAUUUUUCUGUUUCCUCCCAGACUUUUUCUGUGAAGUUUUGUGAUCUUUUCAUAGCUGAGCUCAAACUUAGUACUAAACUUUGUAUCUUGCUUUUACCCACUUACAAUGUUUGCAUUUUCUGUGUUCUCAUAUAGACUUCACACCACAAAUUUUUCUUAAGUUUAUUCAUUUUUGAGAGAGAGAGAGAGUGCACAUGACACACAUGAGCGGGAAAGGGGCAGAAAGAGAGGGAGAGAAUCCCAAGCAGGCUCCACGCUGUCAGUGCGGAGCCCAACGUGGGGCUUGAGCCACGAACUGAGAGAUCAUGACCUGUGCCGGUAUCAAGAGUCAGAUGCCCAACUGACUGAGCCACCCAGGCACCCCUCACACAACAAAUUUUUGAUGACAGUGUAUCGGUCCAUUGAGUGGGUGUGCCAUGAUUUAUUGAACUAUUUUUCCGUUAUUGUCUUUUCCUUCUGGAUAUUAUAGGAUGUAACUUUGUUUCAUAAAUUGGGCACAUGAAACAUUACCUUUCUUUAUUAUUAAAAAAUAAAAUUAAAUCUGGGUUUGAAUUCCCAUGUGCAGGGCUGGCAAGACACCCAGCAUAAACCAUCAAUGGGGAGCUAGUCCCAUGUGUAUAUGUAGGGGUAUGUGGAGAAUGCCUACUAUGACAGCUAGGAUACUUUUGACUCAACACGACCCAAGUUUACUCAACCUGGCUUAAACCGUAAAGGAGAAGUACUGGCCUGUAUACCUGGCAGUUCAUAGGAAGAUCCAGGGUUGGUUUGAUUUAGUCACCUGAUAGCAUCAUCAAGGACCCUGUUUCUUCUCAUUUUUGCUCUGCUUUCUACAAAGUCAGCUUAUUCCUGGUCAUAAGACGGUUGUCAGCUGAUGCUACGUGCUCUUUUGCAUGUGCUCAGAGGUAAGGAGAAGGUAGAAAGAGAGAAAGAGAGAUUCGUCCAGAAGCUUCCUCCAAAUAGCAAGCAA